UACGUAGGGUGCGAGCGUUAAUCGGAAUUACUGGGCGUAAAGAGUGCGUAGGCGGGAACAUAAGUUAGAUGUGAAAUACCUGGGCUUAACCUGGGAAAGUCAUUUAAGACUGUGUACCUAGAGUUUGUAAGAGGAUGGUAGAAUUCCAAGUGUAGCAGUGAAAUGCGUAGAGAUUUGGAGGAAUACCGGUGGCGAAGGCGGCCAUCUGGGAUAGAACUGACGCUGAGGCACGAAAGCGUGGGUAGCAAACAGG
rnacentral:rRNA from 1 species